GUUGUGUUUUAGGAAUUAGGUAUUAACAAGAUAUUUAUUUUUCAUUGGGACGUCCAUCACGGAAAUGGUACUCAAAAGAUGUUCCGGAAAGACUCGCGAGUGCUGUUCUUUUCUUUUCACAGUUACUUGAUUUUUUUUUUACUCGUCCUAAUAUAUGUUUGUAAAACACAUAUCUUUGUCAUGCUUGUUUAUAAUUCACUGCAAACGUGCAGGCAUGAGUAUGGGAGUUUUUAUCCUACGGGUGAUGAUGGUUCACACAUCAUGAUCGGUGAGGGAGCUGGUGCUGGAUAUAAUAUAAAUGUUCCAUGGGAGAAUGGUCAGUGUGAAGAUGCAGAUUAUAUUACUGUUUGGAACCAUAUAUUAAUCCCAGUUGCACGAGAAUUCAACCCCGAAAUAAUUAUAAUCCCAACAGGAUUUGAUGCAGCCAUUGGUGACCCUCUUGGAGGCUGUCGUAUCACACCACAUGGUUAUUCUAUACUGUUGAUCGGUGGUGGAAUGGUGUCGACGAUGGUGUUAAGGUCACCUAAGAUGAUGGGGUACGACAAUAACGAAUCAGGAAAUGAAGGCAACAGUAGAUUUUCUGUGAGAUUCGAGAUUCUGACAAAGUCCGACAAUCUCGAACUAUGCAAUUAGUUUCAAGAUAUCUUCAAGUGCUUAAGAUAAAAGUAGUCACUUCUAAUUGCUUUUUAUAACGUUAUAAUUGUUAUCUUAAAAAAGUGUAAGUCUGUUCAUUGGUUACCAGGAAUAUAAUCCUCGGUUCUCUUUUGUAUAAUCCUGAUACCAGUUGGCUACAACAAUGUCAUUAUUAUGCAGACUCAAGCUAUAUGUCAUAGAGGAAGCAUAUUUUUAGUUCCCUGGUGAAGAGGAAGAUCAAGAUGGUCGCUAAUAACCUACAUGCUUUGGAUCUCAAUCCACUAGACGCCGUUCAUUAAGCGCGUAAGUUGAUUUUUUAAGCGUAUAUUACCUGAUCAAUUGCAAAAAUUCUUCUUUGUUCCUUCUGUUUUACUCAUCUCCGAUCCACGAUUCAAGCUUCAUAAGGUAAGAAAUCUUCUAUUGCUAAUGGUUAAUCCUUUUGUUCGUCUUUUCUACUCAGAUUUUUUUAUUUCCUUCGUUCGACCAGAUUUAUUGUAUUGAUGUUCGUUAAUCUAUGGAUUCUGAAAAUGAAACUAAUUUCAAAGUUAAUUGAUAUGAGUUUAAAAACUAUUGAAAUUUGCAAUGAUGCACAAUGUGUAGAUUUGUCCAUAAAAAUAAAUUUCGAAGUGAUUACAUGAGAUUGUUGCACACAAAGUGACUUUUUAGAUUUCAUGUGUUCCAUCUUAACACAUGACUCAUAUUGCGAGUGCUUGCAAGACUCCUUGGACUUUCUCUUUUGGUCAUAGAGUAUCUAUGGUUUACCGUUGAAGGUCAUCUUUAAUACGCUUUGCCAAUUCCUAGGGAUGCGCAAAUGGUAUUGGGUUUCCAGAACCGAAAUAUUUUUUGUGUAUCGAUUCGGUGCCGACUUUUGGCGUUUUCGGUACCGGUCCGGUACUAGGAUUUACCGGUUUUUACGUUCAAAUACCGGUGCCUUACUGGGUACUUUCGGUUCCGGUUCGGUACCAGGAUUUACCAGUUUUUACAUUCAAAUAUCGGUACCUUACCGGGUAUUUUCAGUGCCGGUGUCCAUUUUUUUGGGGAUUUUUUGGUAUCGAUUGGUACCGAGCACAUCCCUAUAUGCAAAAUUGUGAAAUUUGAUUAUUUUAGUUGCAGUUCUGUUGUGUGUUUUUCUUAAUUGAAUUUGGAAUGAUAAAUUAGGAUUUCUUAGUUUAGCUACCAAUGGUUUAUUAUAAAGUUAUUUAGGUUUUAGCUCUAAAAUGUGUAAUUAGAGAGCUAAUAGUGAUGGCAGAGAAAGAAAAUGAUUAUAUAACAUGAAUUGGAUUUACCUAAUAGGAACAUUUAGUUAAUUUAUAUUGAUAACUUCAAGUAUAGUUUAAUUAUUAUUAAUAUCUCCAUAUCAAAUUUGUUGUUCAUCUUUAUAUUUUAAUCGUCCACUUUUAAAGUUGAAUAACUAUUUGCUUCAUGUUAAUGAUAAUUUUAAAUUUAUUUUCUUCUUCGAAAGAAGUUUUAUGUAUAUUGGUAAAUUAACAUGGUUGGUUCAUGUCUUAAUGAAUGGAAGAAUUGACAACUAUGGCUGGAACUCGGAAGGUGUUUACACGAUCCCGUUUGUGUUGUGUAUAAAGAAAAAAAUCCAUGUCAUACCUGAUAUUGCAAACACUUGAUCCUAAUAUGUUACUACCUUUGAGGAGUAGGAGAUGCAAAGAUAUGAGAUCUCAAUACUGGUUUUUGGUUAUUUGGAUGUUCUUAGAAUGAUGCACGAGAUGGAGGAUGACCAUGUUGAAGAUAUGGAGGUUGAAGUACUAUCUUCAAUGUGAACAGAAGACAUUGAUUAAGCUAGAAAGAAAUUUCAAUGUUAAUCUCCAUAAGCUUGAAAAAAAGUUCAAUGUAAUAUUUUCAGUCCUUUUGCGUUCAUAUUAGAUAAGGUAUAAACGUGUAGUUACUAGAUGUUGAAUUCUCUACCACGGGACCAUGUUCACUCAGGUAUAUUAUAUGUACAUUUGUUUUAUCUAUAAUGGGUAGAUGCGAAAAAACAAGCAGGACGGGCUACGGGCAGGUCGGAUAACGGGUCACUUUGGGUUUUAUAAAGCUCAAAACGACCCAAGCUAUAAUGUAGCUCACUUAGUAAAUGAGCUCGAGCUUGAGCUUCAGUGCCGAGCUUGACUACGUUCAUGACCAUAA